rnacentral:rRNA from 1 species
ACGCUCGACACCUACAGGAGGCAGCAGUGGGGAAUAUUGCACAAUGGGGGAAACCCUGAUGCAGCGACGCCGCGUGAGCGAAGAAGUAUUUCGGUAUGUAAAGCUCUAUCAGCAGGGAAGAAACUGACGGUACCUGACUAAGAAGCACCGGCUAAAUACGUGCAAGCAGCCGCGGUAAUCUGAGCGGGCUGGCAAGGC